ACGAGACUGAUUAAAUCUCCUUCCGAAAUAGAGUUCUGAGUUUUCUCCCUAAACCUCUCUACCAGUGAUAAGUUGGAAUUUCUGAUGAGAAACAAACAAUUUGCAAACCCAGCAGCUUAGUCAGAUCAUGGCUUCUCCUUCUCAAACUCACCUCAAUGUUGCAAUGCGGGUCCUUCUCAAACAUCUAAAGGUCGAUUGUCAUUUUGUUUGACAAAAAGUUCAAGCGGGUGUGAUGAAAUUACUUUCAGUUCCUUCUUCUCGACAAUUGACCGACAUCCUUAUCAAAUCUUCCUCCACUCAAUCGUUUGAUGCUAAUAAAUCUUCCUAGAGAGGUCUGCUAGGGAGCACAAAAUUGGGGCAAUUGGUAAAUUUUAAAUUGCUUUUGUUACUAUAUUACCCUAUUUGGUUGCAUGUCAUUGUUUUCAUGUGUGUUUUAUGUAGAUAUUAGAUGUGCUUCUCUUGUAGGUUUAACUCUAAUGUUAUGUUUUGUGAAGCUGUUUUAGUUUCAAUAUUUGGAGAUUGAUUUCCCCAUCAUCAGUCUUCAUUAGAGCUUGAUCAUUAUUUGUAUCCCGGAUAAAGGUGAUGAAUCAGGGCCAAUCAUACUUUAUCUGGAUUUUUA